GUCCCCGUAGCUCAACGGACAGAGCAGAGGUUUCCUAAACCUCCGAUGGCAGUUCGAUUCUGCCCGGGGAUACAA
rnacentral:tRNA from 1 species